GGGUCAGUAGGUUGGUCGUGCCACCGGUACGUACUGGUCUCACUGAUUCCUCCUUCCUGAAGAACCGGAAUGCCAUUAAGUUGGUGUUGCGGGGAAACAGGACUGUUACUUUGAAAAAAUUAGAGUGUUUAAAGCAAGCUAACGCUUGAAUACAUUAGCAUGGAAUAAUGAAAUAGGACGAUCGAUCCUAUUUUGUUGGUUUCUAGGAUUGACGUA
rnacentral:rRNA from 1 species